GGUCCCAAGGGUAUGGCUGUUCGCCAUUUAAAGUGGUACGCGAGCUGGGUUUAGAACGUCGUGAGACAGUUCGGUCCCUAUCUGCCGUGGGCGUUGGAAGAUUGAGGAGGGCUACUUCUAGUACGAGAGGACCGAAGUGGACGUAUCACUGGUGUUCGGGUUGUCAUGCCAAUGGCAUUGCCCGGUAGCUAAAUACGGAAAAGAUAAGUGCUGAAAGCAUAUAAGCACGAAACUUGCUCCAAGAUUAAUCUUCCCUGAAACAGAAAUGUUUACUGAAGGGACGUUGAAGACUACAACGUUGAUAGGCUAGAUGUGUAAGC
rnacentral:rRNA from 1 species